UGUCAUGCAUUGGAAGAAGGAAGAAGAACCAUGACAAUACUGAGACAGAUUGAUUCAUCCAGGACAAGUUGUGUGUGUUAUAUUCAGAAAUGUGUUCUGCAAUUGAAAUUAUUCUUCUACUUAAGCCUAUAUUUAUAAACUAAUUAAAAGUUAAAACAACACAGUGAACUCUACACCUAGUAUCUAAAACAAUUUAAAACAAUUAUGCAUUUGUUACAACAAUAUUGAGGUUAAACAACUAUUGUAUGAUGCGGCAGACCGAAAAUUCUUACAGCUGCUUCGCACCCACAACAUCGGAGUUUGCGAUCUGCUAGAGAAUUCGGCCAAAAGCA